CUCCAGGCCUUGCCAUUUGUUUGUUCUGACCAGGAAGAAGUGCACCCCAAAGAGAGAACAGGAGUGGAGACCCCCUGCUAGACUCUGUUCGAUCUUAGGCACCUCUAGGGAGGGCUCAGAGUUGUUUUCAGGCCGGAGCAGGGCUGCUGGUCGUGAGGGGUCCCAGCCGAAAGUUAGCGCUGUGUAUUUGGGAGGCUCCCCCGCGGUCGCCUCCCUCUGCUGAGACUGGGGCAGUUCAGGUAAGGAGGGGCUGGGCUGGAGGGUGGGGAAGGGAAAGGAAUAAGGAAGGACCAGGGGUCAUCCUCAGAGUCAGAGGCCUCUGUGCUGCCCUGGCAGACACACACCCUCCCAGCCCCAGGCAUCCCACCCUGCAAGACACCCGCACAUCCUGGGGAAACUGGGAGGGAGCACACGGCCCCUCCUCAUGGCCCCUGAGCCAAGCAACAUCCGUGGCCUUGUUCUGGGACGCUCUGAUCUCCUCCCAUCUCCUGCGGCUCGGCCAUCUGCUGCACACCUGGUCCUAAUUUAAUUACUGAGCGGAAGUGAGAAGGUGAACCUGGGAGUGAGCUUCCCAGACUCCUCGGGCUGGGGGCUGGGGCAGGGCUGUGGUACCUCCCCCAGCCAGUAAGAGGGGUCCGGGGAGGACAGGGGAGGGGGACCAGAGGGAGCCAAGGUCAGAAGCCUUAGAGUGCUCACUAUGUUCCAGGCGCUGUGCUAAGUAAGGCCUGGGGAUACUGACACAAGUUGGCUUGUUUCUUGAUGGUGUCUGGCCAGGAGGAGCUUCUAUUCUAAUUGGCAGGGGGAGGGGCUGCAAAGGGCGAAUGAUGAAGAUGAAAGUUUGCCCAGAGACUCGCCGGUUGGAGACAGAAGGUUCGGG
rnacentral:lncRNA from 1 species